rnacentral:rRNA from 1 species
AACGAACGCUGGCGGCAGGCUUAACACAUGCAAGUCGAACGCCCCGCAAGGGGAGUGGCAGACGGAUGAGUAACGCGUGGGAACAUACCCUUUUCUACGGAAUAGCUCUGGGAAACUGGAAUUAAUACCGUAUACGCCCUACGGGGGAAAGAUUUAUCGGGGAAGGAUUGGCCCGCGUUGGAUUAGCUAGUUGGUGGGGUAAAGGCCUGCCAAGGCGACGAUCCAUAGCUGGUCUGAGAGGAUGAUCAGCCACAUUGGGACUGAGACACGGCCCAAACCCCUACGGGAGGCAGGAGGGGGGAAUAUUGGACAAUGGGCGCAAGCCUGAUCCAGCCAUGCCGCGUGAGGGAUGAAGGCCUUAGGGUUGGAAAGCUCUUUCACCGAUGAAGAUAAUGACGGUAGUCGGAGAAGAAGCCCCGGCUAACUUCGUGCCAGCAGCCGCCGUAAGAC